CCUUUGUGAUCCAGGAUAUUCCUCUUUAGAAUCUUUUUCAUUUUGGUGCUUGUGAUGGCAGACGUGCAGAGAUGUGCCAUAACCUGGUAAUGUAGCACAUCCCUGGGGCCGAACCUGAGCUUGUCCUCCUCAACCACUACUACGAAGAGCUUGACUGCAUCGCCCUAUCUGACAUGGCCUGCUCUGAGAAUAGCUGCUGGAGAAGUUGGGCUUCUACAAGAAGGCUCAGCCUGAGGAUGAGGUCCCAGUGGUGUUCUGCUUCUCCCCGCCAAGCACAGCCCCUUCAAAAGCACCCCCAAGUCCCCGUCCUCCCCCUCCUCAGCCCCCACAGACAACGCUUCCUCAGAGUCCGACGCAGAGGCCAAACACUCUGACCUAUAACCCUCACAGCAGUAAAGAGGAGUGUGUACCUGGACAGACAGGCCUACUCUCCCCCAGGUCUGGUCCAAGACCAGUUUGUUUCUGCAUCUCAUAACAGAAAUGUUUGGGAUCAGAAUGACAGGCAGGUCCUGGAUUAGCACUUGGGGGAGCAUCAGCAUAGGUUUUGAAGGUCACACUAAAAUUGAUUUACCACAAAGUGUCAAGUAUGGGGUCUCUCUGCUGAUCUCGUGUGUAAAAUGACUUCCUGUACACUGUGGAACUGAAUGACGCCUCGAGCUGUAAAACCUCCUGGUUGGCUUGUGGCUGAUGUAACGUGUCCAGGUGUGUGGGGCUUAGGCACAAGGGGAUUCAAGUGAAGGGGAUGACAAAU
rnacentral:lncRNA from 1 species